rnacentral:rRNA from 1 species
GUGUCAUCGGCUUCGCUCCCAACCCCUGUGACAUACCUAUACGUUGCCUCGGCGGAUCAGCCCGCGCCCCGUAAAACGGGACGGCCCGCCCGAGGACCCCUAAACUCUGUUUUUAGUGGAACUUCUGAGUAAAACAAACAAAUAAAUCAAAACUUUCAACAACGGAUCUCUUGGUUCUGGCAUCGAUGAAGAACGCAGCAAAAUGCGAUAAGUAAUGUGAAUUGCAGAAUUCAGUGAAUCAUCGAAUCUUUGAACGCACAUUGCGCCCGCCAGUAUUCUGGCGGGCAUGCCUGUUCGAGCGUCAUUUCAACCCUCAAACACAACUUGGUGUUGGGAAUUUCGGUAAUUUGGUUUCUUCAAAUCAAUUGGCGGUCAAAUCAAGAUUUUAUAGGGUAUUAAUCGUACCCCUCCUUACUGGUAAGCGUCGCGGUCACGCCCUAAAGCCCCAACUUCGGAAUGUUGACGGGGGAUCGGGUAGGAAUACCCGCUGAACUUA